UACGUAGGGGGCAAGCGUUGUUCGGAAUGACUGGGCGUAAAGGGUGCGUAGGCGGUGUAGCAAGUUAGAAGUGAAAUACCUAGAGCUUAACUCAGGUGCUGCUUCUAAAACUGCUAUACUUGAGUGCAGUAGAGGAAAGUGGAAUUCCUAGUGUAGCGGUGGAAUGCGUAGAUAUUAGGGGGAACAUCAGUGGCGAAGGCGACUUUCUGGACUGUAACUGACGCUGAGGCACGAAAGUGUGGGGAGCAAACAGG
rnacentral:rRNA from 1 species